rnacentral:lncRNA from 1 species
AUCACUGCUGUUCAGAGUUGGCUGAGAAGAGGGGCAGGCUCAAGACCACUUCCUUUGCUUGAGGAACGCAGCUACCGCACUAGCACAGGACUGGCCUGGGGAACACAGCAGAAAACAAUUUUCAGGAUCUCCCUUGGCAACUGGGUUGACUGGACUUCCACUAGGUGAGAAGAAUCAUAGAGACAAAGUUAGAUUCAGAGGCAUACUGCUUCUGAGACAAGAACCCGGCCAUAUAAAUGAAUUCAAUUUCCAGUGACCAACGGGAAGCUCCAGAGUACCACAGAAGUAGCUGUUCUAGGAGAGGAGAUGCCAAAAAUCUGAUGAGAGACCUUGUUCUUUUAGUCCUACAUUCUGGCCUCGCAAUUUGCGCAUCAAGGUCAUGUACUGCCUCGAAUAGUUUGUGUGCUCUGCGUCCAGCUGCUGGAACUGGCUCAGAAGAACCUGAGAUAAAUAUAUGACACCUCUCCCUUGGUACCAUGUCCUGACCCACACCCGCUGGCUAUCUUGACUUGACUGUUUAUAUUGUUAUGUCAACUUUAUUUCUUAUCAGGUAACUAAAGAUGGGCCAAAAGAAUGUGGAAUGCUUUUCCAUACCUCUGCAUACAGGGUCAUUUGGAACCUCUACAUACAGGGUCAUUUGGAGGUCCACAGAAUGGACGGGCACUUUGCUACUGCACUAGUUACCCUUGGUGAAUGCCAUGAUGUUCUGUAUAUCAUUGAAGAAAAAAAAUGAUACGUCUUGAAAUGACAGAACCACAGGACGCUUGAGGGCUGGUUGGCAUACUCACAGCUGGACAAAUCUUCCUUCCACAAGUAUGUGCUGGUAUUUUAAGACUUGCAUAAGUGGUGCCUGGGCAUUUUUCACAUUGGGUCAUUAGUUUCUAAAUUCAUACAAAUUCUCCCUGUAGUUUCAAGUGGUUACAAUAGUCUUCAUUUCUUGUAUUGAACUGCUUUACAUAGUCUUGACAUGGACUGUUUAACAACUCUCAUUUUCCAUCCUUGAAAUGCUUGCAUUUCAAUGGUGGGUGAGGGGAUUUUAUAUAUACACAACUAUACACAGAAAGACAGGCACUAUAUAUCUCUGAAUAGGUUAUAUAUAGCAUUCCACCUGCCAAGCACUUUCAAAUGUAGCCCCUGGUUUUGAAUGAGAGCUGUGGAUGUCAGUGAGUGUGAAUGGGACAUGCAGUUGCUCUGAAAAAUCAAGCCCAGUGUGUCACAAGUUGGGCUUCUAAAGACCAAGGCACCCAAACUCAACAGCCACUUUGACUGAUUGUGUGUUUGUGUGUGUGUGAGAGAGAGAGAGACACACACACACAAAUAGUAUCAUAUGGAAAAGUGUGACUUCUACCUCUGNAGAGAGAGAGAGACACACACACAAAUAGUAUCAUAUGGAAAAGUGUGACUUCUACCUCUGAUACAUGCAGUUCCAUUCCUGGAGUGCCACAAGCACAGCACUUG